rnacentral:rRNA from 1 species
AGUGAACGCUGGCGGUAGGCCUAACACAUGCAAGUCGAACGGCAGCACAGUAAGAGCUUGCUCUUACGGGUGGCGAGUGGCGGACGGGUGAGGAAUACAUCGGAAUCUACUUUUUCGUGGGGGAUAACGUAGGGAAACUUACGCUAAUACCGCAUACGACCUACGGGUGAAAGCAGGGGAUCUUCGGACCUUGCGCGAUUGAAUGAGCCGAUGUCGGAUUAGCUAGUUGGCGGGGUAAAGGCCCACCAAGGCGACGAUCCGUAGCCGGUCUGAGAGGAUGAUCAGCCACACUGGAACUGAGACACGGUCCAGACUCCUACGGGAGGCAGCAGUGGGGAAUAUUGGACAAUGGGCGCAAGCCUGAUCCAGCCAUACCGCGUGGGUGAAGAAGGCCUUCGGGUUAUAAAGCCCUUUUGUUGGGAAAGAAAAGCAGCAGGUUAAUACCCCGCUGUUCUGACGGUACCCAAAGAAUAAGCACCGGCUAACUUCGUG